UACGUAGGGGGCGAGCGUUGCUCGGAUUUACUGGGCGUAAAGAGCGCGUAGGCGGCCAGGGAAGUCCGGUGUGAAAUUCCUCGGCUCAACCGAGGACCCGCAUCGGAAACUCCCUGGCUUGAGUCCAGGAGGGGAGGGUGGAAUUCCCGGUGUAGCGGUGAAAUGCGUAGAGAUCGGGAGGAACACCGGUGGCGAAGGCGGCCCUCUGGAAUGGUACUGACGCUGAGGCGCGAAAGCUGGGGGAGCGAACGGGAUUAGAUACCCCGGUAGUCCCAGCCGUAAACGAUGGGCACUAGGUGUGGGAGGUAUUGACCCCUUCCGUGCCGUAGCUAACGCAUUAAGUGCCCCGCCUGGGGAGUACGACCGCAAGGUUGAA
rnacentral:rRNA from 1 species